rnacentral:RNase_P_RNA from 2 species
AGAGUUGGCCAGACAAUCGCUGCGAGUAGCCGGUAAUGAAAAUUAUUGACUAUUAGGGGAGGAAAGUCCGGGCUCCACAGGGCAGGGUGCCAGAUAACGUCUGGGCGGCGCGAGCCGACGACAAGUGCAGCAGAGAGAAGACCGCCUGCACCGCGUAAGUGGCUCAGGUAAGGGUGAAAGGGUGCGGUAAGAGCGCACCGCAUUGCUGGCAACAGUAUAUGGCGAGGUAAACUCCACUCGGAGCAAGACCAAAUAGGUUCCCUUAUGGCGCGGCCCGCGUUGGGAACGGGUAGGUUGCUUGAGCUAUUAAGCGAUUAAUAGCCUAGACGAAUGAUUGUCAUUCUUUGAAAGAAGUCUACAGAACCCGGCUUAUGCGGCCAACUCUACUU